UCUUUGGUGCGCGGCUCAGCGGGUUGGCAGAACGAAAGAUUGACAGCUGACCAUGAACACUGAUAGAUAGAUAGAUAGAUGAAAAGAUAGGUAUGGGUUGUAGGGAGGGAAUGAGGGAAUGGUAGGGAGACUGAUAAGGGCAUAGGUAGAGAUAGGUUGAUACGUGUGUGGAAGAGAAGAACAAACUAGGAAUUGGAAAAGGAUGGAAAAGAGUAAUUAGAAAGGAGAGGAAGGGAAAGGAAAGGAAAGGGAAGCGAAGGGAAGAAAAAGGAAUGGGAAAAGAGGAAAGGGAAAAAAUAGAGGAGGGGAAACGAAGUGAAGAGGAACAAAAGGAAGGGAAGGGAAAGAUAGGUAGAGGAAGGGAAGGUAAUGGAAAGAAUAGUAGAAAGGAAAAUAAAUAGAAUGGGUAAAAAAGGAAAGGGAAAAAAUAAAGGAGAGGAAACAAUGAGAAGCGAAGUGAAAGGAACAAAAGGAAGGGAAGAAAUGGGAAAGAUAGGCAGAGGAAAGGGAAAAAAGAAUGAAAGGAAAAGAGAAGAGAAAUUAAACGAGAAAAAAGGGAAAAAAAAGGAAAAAGAAUGAAAGGAAAAGAGAAGAGAAAUGAAACGAGAAAAAAAGGGAAAAAGAUUGAAGGGAAAAGAGAAGAGAAAUGAAACGAGAAAAAGGGAAAAAAAUAAAAAAAGAAUGAAAGCAAAAAAAAAAAAAAAGGAAAAAAGGGAAAAAGAUUGAAAUUAAAAGAAAAAAGAUAUGGAGAGGAAAGGAAAAAAGAAUGAAAGGAAAAGAGAAGAGAAAUAAAACGAGAAAAUACUAAUCAAGCUACAACCCGAUCCACAAUGAACCUACAGUGCUAUCCGGCGGGCGUGUGAUAGGAGGGCAGUUACAGUCCCCUUGGUAAACACGGCUGUAACGCGGCUUGUAGGGGAAUUGCAAGUUACGUGUUUGUAGGCUUACGCAUAGACAAACUACUAUGCUCUUCGUGAAUUCCGCCCCAGGUAGGCAAUAGGUUGUCUAUAGAUCUAUUGACAGGUGUAUUGACGCCUAGGUAGACUGGUAGAGAGAUAGCCAGGUUCAAGGUAGGUAGGUAGGUGGGUAAGGAAAGGAAAAGGAAAGCAAGUCAAGUGAAUGAAAAAAAGAAAGAUAGAUAAAUACGAAACUGAAAAAAGGAAAACAGUCUAAAAAGUGAAAGGUAGACAUAUUACAGGUAGACAGGAGAAAGACAGGUAGAGAGGUAGACAUAACACAGACAGGUGGAUAGGUGCAUAAUUAGAUGUGAUCGAUAGCGAGAUAGGUAGACAAAUAGACAGGUAGACAGAUACAGAUGGACAGGUAGACAGACGAUAGGUAGACAGACGACAGGUAGACAGAUACAGAUGGACAGGUAGACAGACGACAGGUAGACAGAUACAG